ACCCACUGUGCAAUCUAAGUUACAAAAUGUUGCUGCAAUGUUAAGUUUCGAUCACAAUGAAAUGUUACCAAGUAACAAUAAUGCGAUGUCCUAUAAUUGUUCCAUAAUAAUAAUACCAAAUAUAUCAUCAAGUAACAUUACUGAAAUGUUAAAAAUACACAUUUAUGCAAUGUUACAAAUUAAUAUUCAUUCAAUGUUUAAUUAUUAUUGCAUUGAAAUAAUCUUGUUUACGCGCUAUAUCCCAUUGUUAUAAACACUAUCACUGGAUUUUCCAAUUCGGAUUUCGGGGAAGCCGAACCCGCAAAACGACCGGCGCGCUAAAUAAUAGCUAGCAAUGUGAAUCUUUAUUUUAUUUGUUAGUCUUUGCGUCAAGUGCCGAAGAGUGUGUUCAGAAUAAUUACAAUAUAUACAAGUCAUAAUAAUCCAUUCGUCUCUACAGAAAGAAAUGA